UGCCUGUAGAUCUCCAUCGGAAUGCAGAAAAGAUCCUUUAAAAAAAAGUUUGAAUUCCUGAAUGAUUUUUUUUUCUUGUAGAAAGGCGGCUUAGGAUAAUUAUUGCAGCUUUAUUGAGAGCAGAUUAGAAGAAGUCUGGAUGGAGGGCUGUACAUGCCUUUACAAUGU